rnacentral:rRNA from 1 species
ACGCUCGACACCUACGGGAGACAGCAGUGGGGAAUAUUGCACAAUGGGGGAAACCCUGAUGCAGCAACGCCGCGUGAAGGAAGACGGUUUUCGGAUUGUAAACUUCUGUUCGGUUAGUGAAGAUAGUGACGGUAGCUAAGGAGCAAGCCACGGCUAACUACGUGCCAGCAGCCGCGGUAAUCUGAGCGGGCUGGCAAGGC